rnacentral:lncRNA from 1 species
CUUCCCCCACCUCCACCCCACCCCCAGCCCCAGGCAUUAGGCUCGGUUUCUCGGGAUCCUGGGCGUUUGCUCAGACCCCGCACAGACUCGCUCACAUUACUUUUUUAAAACAAAAGCAAUUAGAUUUCAAUCCUGGUUCAUUUGCAUUUGCACCUCGGAAACUGGAGAAGGAGGUUGCGGGAGCGAAGGAGAGGGGAGCCCGGCGGCGGCGGGUGACACCUUCCGAGCGCCACAGCUGGCCCGGACUGCCAUUGCGCCGGCCACAUCUGGCCCGGCCGCGCGGCCGCCGCGGCCCCCUCCCCGCCCGCUCCCGGGCCCGCGCGCCGCAGCCCGCUCGGCGGCGCGCUCAUCGAUCGCCGGGGCCGCAGCCGGGCGAGCGGAGAACAAGGUGGAGAAUGGCAAGAAGCGCUCUUGCAUUGUGGGCUUCCAGAGGUCCAGCUCUGCAUUUGGAGGAGAGAGAAGGGAGCAGCCACCGCCUGCCAAGACUGCGAGUGAUUCAUUCAACAUGGCAGUUCCCAUACUCAUCGCACAAGGCGUGGACGACACAAAGAGAUGGCUUGCCUGCAAGAGACCCAGCUGGUCCAGAGUCGGAGGCACAUUUCAUUUCUCUGGCCAGCUGGAGAGGCGGCCGGAGCAGACGAGGAGAUCGCCUCUAAUGUUCUAAAUGUCAAUAUGGUCCCUACUGGCUGACUCGCCAAGAUUUGAUCAGCAAAUUGGCCUGCGUGAUGUGUUCCCUGCAAUGCACGGUGUGUGUUUAAAUCUUUCAACAGUGUCAUGAAAGAAGCUGAAGAACAGUAAACAAUUCUCAGUGGAAGUGGUUCUGAAACCUUUCUCCUGUGGCUUCUGAGCAGCUUCCUGUCUCUCUGGGGUUCGGGUUUCAAUAGGGUUGUCUCCUUGGGCCCUAAUUAGGUUGAGGAAGGGACCAGCUCCAUUUGGGAUGCCAUGGUCGCCUAUGGCGAG